rnacentral:rRNA from 1 species
GACGAACGCUGGCGGCGUGCUUAACACAUGCAAGUCGAGGGACCGGUGCACGGGUGAGUAAAACGUAUCCAACAUGCACUAUACUCGGGGAUAGCCUUUCGAAAGAAAGAUUAAUACCCGAUGUACAGGAUGGGGAUGCGUUGCAUUCUGUUGUUUGUGAGGUAACGGCUCACAAAGCCAUCGAUGGUUAGGGGUGAUGAGAGGAAGGUCCCCUACAUUGGAACUGAGACACGGUCCAAACUCCUACGGGAGGCAGCAGUGAGGAAUAUUGUUCAAUGGUCGUUAGCCUGAACCAGCCAAGUAGCGUGAAGGAUGAAGGCUUAUGGGUCGUAAACUUCUUUUAUAUAAGAAUAUGUAUUAUAUGAAUAAGGAUCGGCUAACUCCGUGCCAGCAGCCGCGGUAAUAC